rnacentral:rRNA from 1 species
UGCGUAACAGCUCACUGGUCGAGUGGACAUGCGCCGACAAUACACGGGGCUAAGCUGGACACCGAAGCGGCGGGAUUUUGAUUUUCAGAAUCGGUAGGGGAGCUUCCCAUGGGCGGUGAAGCCGCCGGGCGACCGACGGUGGAGCGCAUGGGAGUGAGAAUGCUGGCAUGAGUAGCGAGAGACGAGAGAGUAACUCGUCCGCCGUGAACCCGAGGUUUCCUGGGCAAGGCUAAUCCUCCCAGGGUCAGUCGGGGGCUAAGGCGAGGCCGGUAGGCGUAGCCGACGCGCAGCAGGCAGACAUUCCUGCACCGCGCACGCGGCGCUACGACCGACGGGGCGACGGAUGGGGGUGGCUCGGCGGGGUUCUGGACGUCCCCGUGAUGGAGCGCGGCCCGCGGACCAGGGAAAUCCGGUCCGCACGAGGGCGAGGCUCCGGACGAAGCGAUCAAGCGAAGCGAGUGAGCCCGAGGUCCCUAGAAAAACCCCUAGGCAGGCGCGUGCGCGCCCGUACCGCAAACCGACACAGGUGGGUGGGUAGAACAUACCGAGGCGAUCGGGUCAACCAUGGUCAAGGAACUCGGCACAAUGGCCCCGUAACUUCGGGAGAAGGGGUGCCCGCGCGUACGUGAACGGACUUGCUCCGGGAGCGGAGGCGGGCCGCAGUGGAGAGGCCCAAGCGACUGUUUACCAAAAACACAGGACUCUGCAGAAGCCGCAAGGCGACGUAUAGGGUCUGACGCCUGCCCGGUGCCGGAAGGUCACGCGGAGGAGUUAGCGCAUCGCGCGAAGCCCCGAAGCCAAGCCCCGGUAAACGGCGGCCGUAACUAUAACGGUCCUAAGGUAGCGAAAUUCCUUGUCGGGUAAGUUCCGACCUGCACGAAAGGCGCAACGACUUGGGCGCUGUCUCGACCAUGGACCCGGUGAAAUUGCACUGGUCGUGAAGAUGCGACUUACCCGCGGAAGGACGGAGAGACCCCGUGAACCUUCACUGCAGCUUGGCAUUGGCCGCUGGUCCCGCGUGUAGAGGAUAGGCAGGAGGCACAGAUCCGGAGGCGCCAGCCCCCGGGGAGCCGCCCUUGGAAUACUGCCCUCGCGCGACCGGCGUCCUAACCCGAGGCCGUCAACCGGCUCGGGGACCGUGCCAGGCGGGCAGUUUGACUGGGGCGGUCGCCUCCUAAAGGGUAACGGAGGCGCGCGAAGGUCCGCUCGGGACGGUCGGCAACCGUCCUUUUGAAUGCAAGAGUACAAGCGGGCUUGACUGCGAGGCCCACAAGCCGAGCAGGUGCGAAAGCAGGCUCUAGUGAUCCGGCGGCC